rnacentral:ncRNA from 1 species
UCAACGGGGUGCCGAACUUAUUUCGGCUGAGAAAUAACCCGUAGAACCUGAUCCGGUUAAUACCGGCGUAGGGAUUUG